UACAGAGGGUGCAAGCGUUGUUCGGAAUCAUUGGGCGUAAAGGGCGUGUAGGCGGUUUGUUAAGUCAUGUGUGAAAUCCCCCGGCUCAACCGAGGAACGACGCAUGAAACUGGCAAGCUAGAGUACCGAAGAGGGGGGUGGAAUUCCCGGUGUAGUGGUGAAAUGCGUAGAUAUCGGGAGGAACACCAGUGGCGAAGGCGACUACCUGGCCUGUUCUUGACGCUGAGGCGCGAAAGCUAGGGGAGCAAACGGG
rnacentral:rRNA from 1 species